rnacentral:lncRNA from 1 species
AACACCUGGAAAGCUUUCAGGUUAUCAAAAUUGAGAUCCUGGCUUCUAUCAAUAGGAGCAAGUCAGUAGAAAGGACCGUAAAAACACAAACAGGACAGAAUUUGAGUGUCUAUGUGCUACUGUAGCCCAGACCGGCCUCAGUCUUGGUCCAGUCUUCUCAUUUCACUGUUCUGAGCACUAGGAUUAGAGACGCCUCUCAUCACUCCUGACUUUAAAAGAAGUUUGUUUUAAAGUGUGAGGUCAAAGCAAGAUCUAGUCAGGUGUCAACAUGAGACUGUAGUGGAAUAAGAGGAGUGCAGGAGAUAAGGAGCACAGAUAUUGCCACAGGAGCAGAGAACAAUGUGCGUAAGCCCCGUCUCCUGUACUGUCGUAGACUGAGAGGCAUACUGGGAAGGGGAAUGGAGGACUGGUGACCAAACAAAAGGAUACGAGAAAUGUGCAAUAUAAUAUAUAAGCAAUAUA